rnacentral:piRNA from 1 species
UUAGAGGAGCCUUCUUGCUUUGGGCAA